rnacentral:lncRNA from 1 species
GGGUUCUCUGUCUAGAUCUUUUGCAUGGGGGAUCUUGGAAAACCAGCAAACCUACAUGGCUGGCGUAGCUACACAAACAAAAGCCUUUUUAUCCCCCGGUUUCCGAGCUUAAGUUUUCCCAAAGCUCUCAGCCCAGUGCAGAGAGACUGUACGUCCUGUACUUGAUCAAGUACUGCACACACAGUCUCUCUGCACUGGGCUGUGAGCUUUGGAAAAUAUAAAAGAUACCCGUGGGAGCAUUUUUUAGUCAUGAAGCUUCAGACUUAAGUCAGACUCUUCAUCUAUCUUCAUCUAGCUAUCCAUGCCUACAUACCUAAUCUAUCCAGAUAGACAGACAAACAGACAGAUGGGUAGUUGUAUACAAACAGACAGACAGCCCAAUGGCAUACUCCAGGCCGGUUCCGGCCCGGUUCCGACCUAACGGGUCCAGUUAACGAGAUGGGUAACCGGUCGGUAGGAUUACCGGGCGAACCGUUAUCCGUUAACCGUCCCCAGUAAUCGGUAACCGAUGUCGGUAACCUGGCAUGAGGAAAAAUGCAUUUCUGAUUGCAACCAGUUUCUUUGUGACAAUGCCCAUUGUCACAAGGUUCAUGCCCACGUGUCACACCCCGACAAGCUUAGGAGGUUAAGGCAAUGUGAAUGCCGGGUGACAGGGGUGACAGUCUUGUGCAGGCACAUUUGGAGACUAGUUUACACUGAGAUUGGGGUGAUGUUGGAUUAGAAUACUUGCAGUUCAUGAAAUUGAGGAAAUGUGUUGCAUAGGCAUAUCCAAACGUUUCAGAGGGACGUUGUUUCGCCCGUAACAAACUUGUUACGGGCGAAACAAACUGGAUUUCCACAGUCCCACCACUCAAAGAGCUCCCCACACCAUCGCAAAGUCCCUUUUUUAUUACAGACACAUGUAACGAGUUGUCAUAGCUUGAGAUUGUCGAUAUAUGACUGCUGGAUUGUGACCAGGCCAUCUCCUUACAUGUCUUGCUGCACCAGCAUGAGCAGUGAUCCCUUCUGUUCAAAAUUUUCAGGCAACAUCGCAAUGAGGCAANNNNNNNNNNNNNNNNNNNNNNNNNNNNNNNNNNNNNNNNNNNNNNNNNNNNNNNNNNNNNNNNNNNNNNNNNNNACGGUCGGUAACCGGCAUGUUUAUACCAUAGGGCAGACAGGCAGACACAAGCAGGUGAUGUUGGGGUAACAAAAACACACAGACAACCACACAAUCACAGCACUGUUGGGGCACAUGGUGGAGUUGGGGUAACAUGAAAACAUGCACACACACAGACAGAGAGAGAGACACACACACACACACAGAGAGAGAGAGAGAGAGACACACACACACACACAGAGACACACACAUACACGCAUACAAGCACACAGAGAGAGAGACACACACAUACAUACACACACACAGAGUCUCACACACAUACACACACACACACACACAGUCUCACACACACAGUCACACACACAUACACGCACACAGUCACACACACACACAGUCUCACACAUACAUGUACACACACACACAUUGUAGCAAGCUACAUUUCCCAUAGAAUAUUUCAACGAUUACUCUUGACAAUAACUGUUAAUUCGUUAAUGAUUCGACUCGAGUUUUGUACAUGUUAUGAGUUUCGUCACAUGUCUCGAACAUGGCGGUUGUUCGCAGCAAACCCUUAGAAUACUUCAACGAUUACUCUUGACAAUAACUGUUAUUUCGUUAAUGAUUCGACCCGAGUUUCGUACAUGUUACGAGUUUCGUCACAUGUCUCGAACAUGGCGGUUGUUCGUAGCAAACCUAAUGGGCUGGGGCCCCGGGGCCCCACCGACAUUAUCCUAGUACGGCAGGACCAUGGUAGGGAAUGUCCGGCAGGUAGGCCGAGAUAUAAGCUACCCGGGCGGGGUGCACUGGCCAGACACUGAAGUAUCACGAAUACUAGGUGUUCGGAGUUCAAGUCUCCGCUGCCGCCAUAUAGAUUGUUUUUGUAUACGCGUCUAUGCAGACUAGUGCUUGCCUCGGCGAGGACUGUCAACUCAACGCUUCCGGGUAACAGGCUGUUGGGAGUUAGAGAUUGAUCAACGUCAUGACCAACCUAACAGCUGUGAGCACACAGCACGCACCUGCAGGCUUUGUGACUGCAGGGCGGUUCAAGGCGAAAUGCAUGCCUUUGUGAAAUGCCCGGUGUACACUAGUACACGGGCUAAGUACGAACAUGACCUCGCGUUUCAAGGGUUCAACGUGCACACGAUUUCACUGAGGCCCCACCCCUGGCACUAGCCAGGUUCCCCUCGGAAGUCUGGGAGACCCGGCACGUUGCUCUAUGGCGCUUCAUAUGCUCAAGUGGACGAGGGAGGACAAUGAUGGUCCACCAUGUAACUGCACUUCAAACGAUUUACCGUCCAUGGGCACGCCAGCUUUUAUGGACAACCCCGCACUUGUAUGGAACUUGUAACACACUCAAACACAUACAAAGACAGACACACAGACACACCCACCCACCCAUUUCAGUCAAACACACACACACACACAGACAGACAGACACACGGACAGACAAACAGAGACAGACAAAAGGAGAGACACANNNNNNNNNNNNNNNNNNNNNNNNNNNNNNNNNNNNNNNNNNNNNNNNNNUCUCCGAGCUUAAGUUUUCCCAAAGCUCUCAGCCCAGUGCAGAGAGACUGUACGUCCUGUACUUGAUCAAGUACUGCACAUACAGUCUCUCUGCACUGGGCUGUGAGCUUUGGAAAAUAUAAAAGAUACCCGUGGGAGCAUUUNUUAGUCAUGAAGCUUCAGACUUAAGUCAGACUCUUCAUCUAUCUUCAUCUAGCUAUCCAUGCCUACGUACCUAAUCUAUCGAGAUAGACAGACAAACAGACAGAUGGGUAGUUGUAUACAAACAGACAGACAGACAGGCAGACACAAGCAGGUGAUGUUGGGGUAACAAAAACACACAGACAACCACACAAUCACAGCACUGUUGGGGCACAUGGUGGAGUUGGGGUAACAUGAAAACAUGCACACACACAGACAGAGAGAGAGAGACACACACACACACACACACACAGAGAGAGAGAGACACACACACACACACACAGACACACACACACACACAGAGAGACACACACACACAUAGACACACACACACACACAGAGAGAGACACAUACACGCACACAAGCACACAGAGAGAGAGAGACACACACACAUAGAUACACACACAGAGUCUCACACACACACAGAGUCUCACACACACAGUCACACACACAUACACGCACACAGUCACACACACACAGUCUCACACAUACAUGUACACACACAUUGUAGCAAGCUACAUUUCCCAUAGAAUAUUUCAACGAUUACUCUUGACAAUAACUGUUAAUUCGUUAAUGAUUCGACUCGAGUUUUGUACAUGUUAUGAGUUUCGUCACAUGUCUCGAACAUGGCGGUUGUUCGCAGCAAACCCUUAGAAUACUUCAACGAUUACUCUUGACAAUAACUGUUAUUUCGUUAACGAUUCGACCCGAGUUUCGUACAUGUUACGAGUUUCGUCACAUGUCUCGAAUAUGGCGGUUGUUCGUAGCAAACCUAAUGGGCUGGGGCCCCGGGGCCCCACCGACAUUAUCCUAGUACUGCAGGACCAUGGUAGGGAAUGUCCGGCAGGUAGGCCGAGAUAUAAGCUACCCGGGCGGGGUGCACUGGCCAGACACUGAAGUAUCACGAAUACUAGGUGUUCGGAGUUCAAGUCUCCGCUGCCGCCAUAUAGAUUGUUUUUGUAUACGCGUCUAUGCAGACUAGUGCUUGCCUCGGCGAGGACUGUCAACUCAACGCUUCCGGGUAACAGGCUGUUGGGAGUUAGAGAUUGAUCAACGUCAUGACCAACCUAACAGCUGUGAGCACACAGCACGCACCUGCAGGCUUUGUGACUGCAGGGCGGUUCAAGGCGAAAUGCAUGCCUUUGUGAAAUGCCUGGCGUACACUAGUACACGGGCCAAGUACGAACAUGACCUCGCGUUUCAAGGGUACAACGUGCGCACGAUUUGACUGAGGCCCCACCCCUGGCACUAGCCAGGUUCCCCUCGGAAGUCUGGGAGACCCGGCACGUUGCUCUAUGGCGCUUCAUAUGCUCAAGUGGACGAGGGAGGACAAUGAUGGUCCACCAUGUAACUGCACUUCAAACGAUUUACCGUCCAUGGGCACGCCAGCUUUUAUGUACAACCCCGCACUUGUAUGGAACUUGUAACACUACAGACAGACAGAGACAGACCGACAGACAGAGACAGGCAGACAGACAGACAGACAGACAGACAGACAGACGUCCUUGGUGGAGUCCCAUGGUGGAGUACUCCUCAGGCUACAUCAACGCUUGUGGCACCAGCUCGAUUUCUUCUCUCUCUCUGUCUCUUCUCUCUCUUCUCUCUUUCUGUCUGUGUGUGUAAACACUCAUGUGGUACACACACACGCCCCCCAUGUACACACAAGCAGGCGAUGUUGGGGUAACAAUAAAACACACAACCACCCACACACAACCUCACACGCACACACAUGACUGUUGGGGUACAUGGUAGUGUUGGGGUAACAUGAAACACACGCAAUCACAGUCCUGAUGGGGCACAUGAUGGGGUUGGGGUAACAUGAAAACAUGCACACACACGGCCACAGAACUAUUCGGGUAUAUGUUGGUGUUGGGGUAACAUAAGACACAGAGACACACAGACAGACAGAGACAGAGAGACACAAACUCACACACACAGAGUCACACAGAGUCACACAGAGUCACACACAGUCACACACAGAGGCACAGAGACACACAUACAUAAACAGAGACACACACAGUCAAACGCACACAAAGACAGACACACACAGUCAAACACACACUAAGACAGAGACACAUACAUACACACAAAGACAGAGACACACACACACACACACACAUACACACAUACACACAUACACACAGACAUACUCACACACAUAAACCUGCCUGUCAUGCAUUAUUCUUCUACAUCAUAUCCUGUCAGCCAAACAUC